UAGGGAAUCUUCCGCAAUGGGCGAAAGCCUGACGGAGCAACGCCGCGUGAGUGAAGAAGGUCUUCGGAUCGUAAAACUCUGUUAUUAGGGAAGAACAAAUGUGUAAGUAACUAUGCACGUCUUGACGGUACCUAAUCAGAAAGCCACGGCUAACUACGUGCCAGCAGCCGCGGUAAUACGUAGGUGGCAAGCGUUAUCCGGAAUUAUUGGGCGUAAAGCGCGCGUAGGCGGUUUUUUAAGUCUGAUGUGAAAGCCCACGGCUCAACCGUGGAGGGUCAUUGGAGACUGAAUAACUUGAGUGCAGAAGAGGAAAGUGGAAUUCCAUGUGUAGCGGUGAAAUGCGCAGAGAUAUGGAGGAACACCAGUGGCGAAGGCGACUUUCUGGUCUGUAACUGACGCUGAUGUGCGAAAGCGUGGGGAUCAAACAGG
rnacentral:rRNA from 1 species